rfam:Gorilla gorilla gorilla genomic chromosome, chr12, whole genome shotgun sequence
GCUGGGCACGGUGGUGGCACAUGCCUGUAGUUCUAUUAUACAGCACUGCUUUAAACAAUAUAUUUUUUAACUCAGGAGUUUUACUACUCAGGAGGCUGAGGCAGGAGGAUUGCUUGAGCCCAGGAGUUCUGGACUGUAGUAUGCUAUGUCAACUGGUCAACUAAGUUUGGCAUCAAUAUGGUGACCUUCGGGUAGUGGGGAACCACCAGGUUGCCUAAGGAGGGGUAACUGGCCCAGACUGGAAAUGGAGUUGAUCAAAAUUCCUGUGUUGAUUGGUAGUGAGAUCGUGCCUGUGAAUAGCCACAGCACUCCAGCCUGGGCAACAAAGCAAGACCCCAUCUCUC